CUGAAUUUUACUUCGUUCGUGAGAAAUCAAAGAUGAUUCUAGCUGUAAGAGGUCUUAGAAAGAGUUCAGGCCAACCCACUUAUUUCACAGUGACCGAUGCACCUGCUAUGCCCAUGGAGAGCUUACGCACAUCACCAAUGUUGUGGUUAUCACUGGAUGAGAGUCAAACUGAUGGAAAAUGGACUGCAGUUAGCGCUGAUUUUAAAUGCACUUCCAUGGCCUGCCACUAAUGCUGUAUGU